rnacentral:snoRNA from 1 species
AAGAUUAUACUACUGGGAUCAUUUCUAGAGUAUAUUCUUCAUCAUUGUAAGGCUCUCUUGCUUUACUUUCAACCUGAUGAUGAGGUUAAGUGUGUUCAGUGUAGCAUGAUGUUGCAAGAAUAGCUUUUGCGCUAUUGCUUGCGUUGAUGAUUGCUUGUUUGCUUGCAAACAUUGCUGUGCCCACAACCUGAGGGUC